UCAUACUCAGUUUGAGAUUCUCAUUUAUAAAAUACUUUUAUUCAUCAAGAGUUUUGAAGUAUAAAACAGACAGACAUCUUAGGAAAGUUUGUGUGAAGCAACUAGAAUAUGCAGAUGGAAUUGUUAUAAAAUCCAAUUGUAUUUAUUUUAAAAAGUAAAAAAAAAAAAAAAAAAAAAAAAAUCCAGUCUUCCUUAGCAUUAAAUAAUCCAUAGAGUUGAUAUAUUGUUGUGUUAUUCACUUGUGUAUUCCAGAUCUCAUGUGGACCUGGAACCUUUUCUUAAGCCUUUUAAGAACUUUCCUGCUUGGCCAGUCCCCAUGUCCUUGCCAUCCCCUCUCCCCUUAGGGAGCUGGGACCUGGUCUUGUCCAUGGUGGAUGGAUAAGGUCCUACUUCUAUUGGGGCAGAACUCGCAGAGUCAGGACACUUUGAUAUUGCCUCUUGGACUCCCACUCAUUGGAUUGAUUUUUUAGAUACUGAGGACAGGCCAGCUGAGAGCUGGGCUCUUUGGCUGUUUUGAGGGUCAGCUUUUCAUUUGCAUCUGACGUUAGGACAUCCAGUCAGUCAUUACUUAGAUCCCUUUCCUGACUCCCCUGCUCUUUGUUGAGUUACUUCCUGGGUUAUUUUUAUUCAGUUUCAGUGAUAGCUAAUUAUUUUCAAGUGUUUGAUUUUUCUACCCAGUUUUAAACUUUCUUUUGACACAGUAUCUGCUAUACUUUCCCAUAGUACAUUUGUUCAUGAUCUGUCUUUCCUUCCAUACCAUGUGUACCCUGAGCAUUGGGACCCAGUUUGUGCUGUUCCUCAGCACUUGGUGCAGAAUCUGGCACAGAGCAGGUGAUAAAUAAGUAUUGAUUAAAUAUAAAUUCAUUCUAAUAAUAAGUCUGUUAUCAGUAUGGGGAAACCAGUGUUUAUGUAGAAAUUUAGAAUUUAUACCAGAAGUUCAGACUUUGCAUUGCCAUGAUUAGUACUGGAGAGCCUGUGUAUUUUUAAUUAUAAGCAUAUGCAUAUACAAAAUAGCAUCAUUAGUCAUCUAACAGGGCAUUUAUUUAAGAAGAAAAGGUAUAUAAUUUUUACCAUGUAUCGUUGGGUGUUGCACAUUUCUAUUUUUCUUGAAUUUGAUGAAUAUGUAUAUAUUAUUUUAUAUUUUUUACAAACAGAAGUUUUAUGGCACUAUAAAGAAGUGAAUUUAAUGGCCCUACUUUUGUUCAUUAGUAAUUAUAUACUAAAGAGUAAAUUCUCAUUAAAAGGCCCUUAAAUGCCUGCUCAUAAAAAAGAGAGACCUCUUUGAUUUUGUUCUCCAUACAAUCCCAGUUAUUGUAUUGAGGCAAGUCAUCAAACUCUUUAGUAGUCUAAACCUUUAAUUUGGUUUCAGAACAGUAGUCAUGUACUGAAUACCCAAAUUACCAUGUCUUUAACAAGUAAUGCAAACACCGUAUUAAAAAGGUAAUGACCAUAACUUUUCUUGUAGAAUUUCUUGUGCUAAUUUUUAAAAGAGGACGUUUGAACUAAAUUUUCCAUGAAGGCCAAGAUCUCAUACUUGUAAUGAUAGUGGAGUAUAUGGGUAUGUGUAGAGAGGAGGGGGUGGUAAUUUUUGUAGUGGUAUUUUUAAGUGGACAGUUUACUAAUUAUGUUGAGGUAAACACUUUACAACUUUAAGAGAAAAACUUCAAUUAUGUGAAUGAAAUGAGGUACAUAAAAUUAAUUCAGAUAAGUGGGGGAAUCCUUAGUAUAAAAUGAUGCAUGUCAAGGGACAUGACCUCAAUCUUGAAUUUUUUUUCUUUCUUUCUAUAUAUCUGUCAGCUUCUCUUAGUUUACGAGGUUCUGAUUCUUUUUGGUCAUGCUAGGAAUCAUCGAUGGAGGGUGUAAAGUUUGCGCUGUAGUUUUUUUUUCCCCCUUGCCACAGAGGGAAUCCAGAAUGUGGUAUUCUGUGACAAGUGUAAUUGCUCAUCUCUCUCUUGUACUGCCUGCCCUUUUAGGUGGUACACCACAGCCUUCCAUUUUGUCACCUUCCUGUAAAACGUCAAAUUUGUGUGGGGACUCCUUGAGAAUACAAUUAGUUUGAAGUUAAAGCCACACUCCUUCAUCCAAUCUCAAGAUGUUUAUACUUCUGACAUGCUGUUGCAGCAAGUUGUAAGGGUGAAUUGAGCUUGAUAGACCUUGAUUCUUUUCCUGUCUUUCUUGGGAUUUAAUAUUUUGCAAUGUAAGCCCUUGAAAUAGAAACAGACAUAGGGGAAUAACCUCUGACCUUUACAAAUCUUAACCUUAAAUGAGAAUUUUUCUGAUUGAUUAGAGUUCGUAAUGUUUUAGGAAAAUGAUUUCUGCUGCCAUUUACUAAGCUUUGCAGCAUUCUUAAGCUCCUGGCAUCUGAAGAUUAUUGUGCUAUAUAUAGGUAGCCUGUGUAGCAGUGGUGAUGUUUUUCUCUAGGCUUUUUUUUUUUGGGCCACACCCAAGGAAUAUGGAGGUCCCCAGGCUGGGGUCUAAUAGGAGGUGUAGCUGCUGGCCUACACCACAGCCACAGCAAUGCCAGAUCUGAGACGUGUCUGUGACUACACCAUAACUCACGGCAAUGCCAGAUCCUUAAACCACUGAGCGAGGCCAGGGAUCGAACUUGCAACCUCAUGGUUCCUCUUGUUGGAUUCGUUUCCACUGAGCCACAAUGGGAACUCCUGUUUUGUUUUUAAACAGAGGCAAGCUUGUCCUAGCUGCAGAGAUGUGCUGACACCUCUGUAUGUGAUUUUACUUCUCUCUUCAACAUUACCUAUAGAUACUUAACUUCCUCAGACCAUGGCUUUUUAUUUUCAGCAUGCAUCCUUUUCAUUUCUUGGUCUUUGAGAUGUAAGAUGAUUCAUAUCUUGAUUGCCUUGAGUAAAGUGGAUGUGAUAUCAGCAAGCUCUGUAUUCAGACCUUGUGAGUAAUUCCCAGGCCAUUGCCUUAGGCUUUCUUAAAUAUAUGCAGGUGGUGUGAUUGAAGAGGUUAGGGUUUAGGGUCAGUCCAGACUGAUUUGGACUCUACCCUUUAUUAACAGUAUGUCUUUGGGGGAAAUUAGUUACUUCUCUGGAUUCCAGUUUCCUCAUCUGUAAUAUAGGGAUAAUAUCAGCUGAGUAUAUUGAGUUUUUUUUUUUUUUGAGAGUAUUCUUAGUUGUACUGAUUUGUCAUAUGCAGAUAAGUGUUUAAUAGUGUGAAUUAAUGAACUUUGUCUAGAUCUUAUACUAUUUUGAAAAGAAAUAGGUUUUGUUCCAUUUGAUGACAGAGAUAGUCAAAUUAGUAAAAAUCAUUCCAAAUAGAGGUCUUACUCAGUUGACCUUAAAACUAUGUUAAGACUUUUGUAACCAUCUAUCUGUUUAUAUACAAAGGAUAAAUUAAUAUGUGUGAUAGGCAGAAUGUGAGUGUACUAAUUGGAAUAAGACAGACUUGGAUUUGUGUAUAAAUGAUCAAACAUUUAGGUAACCUUGGGCAGGAUACUUUUUUGAUUCAAAGUUUUCAUAUGUAGAAAGAAUUAUAAAGAAAAAAAGGAUAAUAAAAAGGUGUUAAGACUUAAGAGAUAAGAUAUGCAAAAUAAUUACUAAAACCUGAAUUUGUAAAUACUGAUAAUUGUUACUGAGACCUUGGAAAAAAGUGGCUUUUAUAAUUCUCUGCACCUCAGGCAUCCUCAUCUUUAGCAUGAAUAUAUCAAAGACAUAAUAGAGUUAUUAUGAGGAUUAAAUGAGAUAAUACAUAAAAGAGCUCAAUUAAUGUUAAUUGCUACUGUUAUUAGCAGUUCAGUUUCAGAACAAAUUGGAUCAAUUUUGAGUUAAAGUGAAAGAAUUCAUACAGAUACUUAAUAUAUUUCUUGUGUUGGGAGAUGUUUACAGUGGAUUUGGGGAUGUCAUUCGUAGCUUGCAGUGUUUCCUUAAGACAGCAGUAGUUCUCAAGUUGUGGUAUACAGGCUUGUGGGGAUCAGUGAGACUAUUUCAGGGGGUCCAUGAGGUUAAAAAGUUAGUAAUACUAACUUUUUGCUUUUUCUGCUGGUUUUACAUUUGCCUUGCUGAUAUUAAAGCAAUGGUGGGUAAAACUGUGGGCAUCUUAAUAGUUAUUAAAUGGCGGUGGCACCAGACUGUAUGAGUAAUCAUUGUAUUCUUCACUGCUGUGCAUUCACAGU
rnacentral:lncRNA from 1 species